GGAAACUGGGCGGCGUGCUAGUACAUGCAAGUCGAGCGAAUGGAUUAAGAGCUUGCUCUUAUGAAGUUAGCGGCGGACGGGUGAGUAACACGUGGGUAACCUGCCCAUAAGACUGGGAUAACUCCGGGAAACCGGGGCUAAUACCGGAUAACAUUUUGAACCGCAUGGUUCGAAAUUGAAAGGCGGCUUCGGCUGUCACUUAUGGAUGGACCCGCGUCGCAUUAGCUAGUUGGUGAGGUAACGGCUCACCAAGGCAACGAUGCGUAGCCGACCUGAGAGGGUGAUCGGCCACACUGGGACUGAGACACGGCCCAGACUCCUACGGGAGGCAGCAGUAGGGAAACUUCCGCAAUGGACGAAAGUCUGACGGAGCAACGCCGCGUGAGUGAUGAAGGCUUUCGGGUCGUAAAACUCUGUUGUUAGGGAAGAACAAGUGCUAGUUGAAUAAGCUGGCACCUUGACGGUACCUAACCAGAAAGCCACGGCUAACUACGUGCCAGCAGCCGCGGUAAUACGUAGGUGGCAAGCGUUAUCCGGAAUUAUUGGGCGUAAAGCGCGCGCAGGUGGUUUCUUAAGUCUGAUGUGAAAGCCCACGGCUCAACCGUGGAGGGUCAUUGGAAACUGGGAGACUUGAGUGCAGAAGAGGAAAGUGGAAUUCCAUGUGUAGCGGUGAAAUGCGUAGAGAUAUGGAGGAACACCAGUGGCGAAGGCGACUUUCUGGUCUGUAACUGACACUGAGGCGCGAAAGCGUGGGGAGCAAACAGGAUUAGAUACCC
rnacentral:rRNA from 1 species